GAGAGCUUGCUCUCGGGUGACGAGUGGCGGACGGGUGAGUAAUGUCUGGGAAACUGCCUGAUGGAGGGGGAUAACUACUGGAAACGGUAGCUAAUACCGCAUAACGUCGCAAGACCAAAGAGGGGGACCUUCGGGCCUCUUGCCAUCAGAUGUGCCCAGAUGGGAUUAGCUAGUAGGUGGGGUAACGGCUCACCUAGGCGACGAUCCCUAGCUGGUCUGAGAGGAUGACCAGCCACACUGGAACUGAGACACGGUCCAGACUCCUACGGGAGGCAGCAGUGGGGAAUAUUGCACAAUGGGCGCAAGCCUGAUGCAGCCAUGCCGCGUGUAUGAAGAAGGCCUUCGGGUUGUAAAGUACUUUCAGCGGGGAGGAAGGUGUUGUGGUUAAUAACCGCAGCAAUUGACGUUACCCGCAGAAGAAGCACCGGCUAACUCCGUGCCAGCAGCCGCGGUAAUACGGAGGGUGCAAGCGUUAAUCGGAAUUACUGGGCGUAAAGCGCACGCAGGCGGUCUGUCAAGUCGGAUGUGAAAUCCCCGGGCUCAACCUGGGAACUGCAUUCGAAACUGGCAGGCUAGAGUCUUGUAGAGGGGGGUAGAAUUCCAGGUGUAGCGGUGAAAUGCGUAGAGAUCUGGAGGAAUACCGGUGGCGAAGGCGGCCCCCUGGACAAAGACUGACGCU
rnacentral:rRNA from 1 species